ACGGAAGGCAGCAGUGGGGAAUAUUGGGCAAUGGACGAAAGUCUGACCCAGCGACGCCGCGUGAGGGAAGAAGGUCUUCGGAUUGUAAACCUUAGUUAUCGGGGAAGAAGAAAGUGACGGUACCCGAAGAGAAGGCCACGGCUAACUACGUGCCAGCAGCCGCGGUAAUACGUAGGUGGCGAGCGUUAUCCGGAUUUACUGGGUGUAAAGGGUGUGUAGGCGGGACUGCAAGUCAGAUGUGAAAACUAUGGGCUUAACUCAUAGCCUGCAUUUGAAACUGUGGUUCUUGAGUGUCGGAGAGGUAAAUGGAAUUCCUGGUGUAGCGGUGAAAUGCGUAGAGAUCGGGAGGAACACCAGUGGCGAAGGCGAUUUACUGGACGACAACUGACGCUGAGACACGAAAGCGUGGGGAGCAAACAGGAUUAGAUACCCUGGUA
rnacentral:rRNA from 1 species